AAGAAAGCUACUAAGGGCACACGGUGGAUGCCUUGGCACCAAUUGGCGAUGAAGGACGUGGUUAACUGCGAAAAGCUUCGGAGAGCUGUAAGCGAGCUUAGACCCGGAGAUGUCCGAAUGGGGAAACCCGGCGUUGGUUAUACAGCGUCAUCCCGUAAGGGAGGCUAACCCGCUGAACUGAAACAUCUAAGUAAGCGGAGGAAGAGAAAGUAAUAACGAUUCCGUCAGUAGCGGCGAGCGAACGCGGAAGAGCCUAAACCCGGGAACACCUGGGGGUCGUGGGACCAAGCUAUCUGGUUUCAUUUCAUAAUCGAACCGAUCUGGAAAGUUCGACCGUAGAGGGUGAAAGUCCUGUAGAUGAAAUGGAGUGAAAUUGGUAUUGGAAUCCCGAGUAGGGCGGAACACGAGAAAUUCUGCUUGAAUCUGCGAGGACCAUCUCGUAAGGCUAAAUACGAUUGGUGACCGAUAGUGAAUUAGUACCGUGAGGGAAAGGUGAAAAGCACCCCGGGAGGGGAGUGAAAUAGAACCUGAAACCGUGUGCUUACAAUCAGUCGGAGCUGGGCACUGUCUUAAUUUCACCUGGGUGAAAUUAAGAGAUGUAAAAUGUAAAAUGUAAAAUGUAAAAUUAUAAUAGAGCCGUCAGGUUCUUGCGUAUUUAUUUUUUCAUUUUCAAUUUUCAAUUUUACAUUGAAUUUCACGUAGUGAAAUUAAGUCAGUGUCUGGUGACGGCGUGCCUUUUGCAUAAUGAGCCGGUGAGUUAAUUUAAUCAGCAGGUUAAGCUCUACAGGAGUGUAGCCAUAGCGAAAGCGAGUCUUAAUAGGGCGUUAGUUGUUUGAAUUAGACCCGAAGCCUGGUGAUCUACCCAUGUCCAGGUUGAAGGUUAGGUAACACUAACUGGAGGACCGCACCAACCGAUGUUGAAAAAUCGGUGGAUGAGGUGUGGGUAGGGGUGAAAGGCCAAUCAAACCAGGAGAUAUCUGGUUCUCUCCGAAAACUGUUUAGGCAGUGCCUUGCGUGAUUAGUAUUGGAGGUAGAGCACUGAAUGGGCUAGGGGGCAUACCAGCUUACUGAACCCAAUCAAACUCCGAAUGCCAAUAUUUACAGCGUGGGAGACAGCGUGCGUGGGAUAAGCUUCGUACGCGAGAGGGGAACAACCCAGACCGUCAGCUAAGGUCCCUAAAUAUAUUCUUAGUGAGAAAGGAUGUGUUAUUGCUAAGACAGCCAGGAUGUUGGCUUAGAAGCAGCCAUCAUUUAAAGAGUGCGUAAUAGCUCACUGGUCAAGUGAUGAUGCACCGAAGAUGAUCGGGACUUAAGGAUAUUACCGAAGCAGCGGAUCGAAAGAUGGUAGGAGAGCAUUCUGAACAGCGUCGAAGGUGAGCCGUAAGGCCAGCUGGAGCGUUCAGAAGAGACUAUGCCGGCAUGAGUAGCGAUAAUGCAGGUUAGAAACCUGCACACCGAAAGCCUAAGGUUUCCUGAGUAAAGAUAAACUUCUCAGGGUAAGUCUGCCCCUAAGACGAGUCAAGCGAGCUUGAGUAGUCGAUGGGAAUCCGGUUAAGAUUCCGGAACCUGUAAUUGUUAGUGAUGUAGUGACGCGGGGGUGCGUCGGAGACGGGCAUUGGAUGUCCCGUUGAACCAGUGUAGGAAGAAAGACAGGCAAAUCCAUCUUUCAUAUAUUCCGAGGCUGGGGACGAGAGACCUAGUCUUAAAAGUCCGCCUAUAUACUCCGCCAAGAAAUAGCUGCUAAACGUUUGAGCAAUUGCAGACAGUACCGCAAACCGACACAGGUAGGCGAGGAGAGUAUCCUCAGGUGUUCGAGAGAAUUCUGGUUAAGGAACUCGGCAAAAUUACCCCGUAACUUCGGGAGAAGGGGUGCCCCAUUAUUGUGAUAUUCUAUACGGAUUGAGCGAGAAGGGGUCGCAGUGAAGAGGCGCAAGCGACUGUUUAUCAAAAACACAGGUCUAUGCGAAGUCGUAAGACUAUGUAUAUAGACUGACACCUGCCCGGUGCCGGAAGGUUAAGUGGAGGAGUUAGCUUCGGCGAAGCCCUGAAAUGAAGCCCCGGUAAACGGCGGCCGUAACUAUAACGGUCCUAAGGUAGCGAAAUUCCUUGUCGGGUAAGUUCCGACCUGCACGAAUGGUGUAACGACUUGCGCGCUGUCUCAACCAGGAACUCGGUGAAAUUGUAGUGGCGGUGAAGAUGCCGCCUACCCGCGAACGGACGGAAAGACCCCGUGAACCUUUACUGCAGCUUGACAUUGUAGUUUGGUACAGUAUGUGUAGGAUAGGUGGGAGACUUUGAAGUUGGCACGCCAGUGUCGGUGGAGUCACCCUUGAAAUACCACCCUUAUUGUAUUGAGUUACUAACGCGACCUUUGUACGGUUGUGGACAUUGUCUGGUGGGCAGUUUGACUGGGGCGGUCGCCUCCUAAAAUGUAACGGAGGCUUACAAAGGUUCCCUCCGGCUGGUUGGUAAUCAGCCAUAGAGCAUAAAGGUAUAAGGGAGCUUAACUGCGAGACCGACGGGUCGAGCAGAUGCGAAAGCAGGUCUUAGUGAUCCGGCGAUUCCGCAUGGAAGGGUCGUUGCUCAAAGGAUAAAAGGUACUCCGGGGAUAACAGGCUGAUACCGCCCAAGAGUUCAUAUCGACGGCGGUGUUUGGCACCUCGAUGUCGGCUCAACUCAUCCUGGGGCUGAAGAAGGUCCCAAGGGUUCGGCUGUUCGCCGAUUAAAGAGUUACGCGAGCUGGGUUCAGAACGUCGUGAGACAGUUCGGUCCCUAUCCUUCGUGGGCGUAGGAAAUUUGAGAAGAUUUGCAUUUAGUACGAGAGGACCGGUGUGAACGAACCUCUGGUGUAUCGGUUGUGGCGCCAGCUGCAUUGCCGAGUAGCUAAGUUCGGCAUGGAUAACCGCUGAAAGCAUCUAAGCGGGAAGCCACCUUCAAGAUAGAUUUCCCAUGAGAUUCGUUGAAGACUACGACGUUGAUAGGCCACAGGUGUACGCACAGCAAUGUGUUCAGCCGAGUGGUACUAAUAAAUCGAUUGGCUUCUAUAU
rnacentral:rRNA from 1 species